CAUACUCAGUUUUCAAUUUUUCUCUUAUAUAUGAUCGAAAGUAGAUCUGAAGUUUCCAAGUUGAUAAGAGAUAAACGUUAUAAAUGCAGAGACGAAGAUAACAAACAGACAAGAGGAGGCUUGCACGAAUAAAUACUGUUAUGUAUAUGGGCCUUUGUCUACUUUUAACUGUAAAGCCUUACGUUAACAAUGAAGUGUGUAGUCAAAAAGUUACUACAGUAUAUUUCUCUCUCCUAAAAGCUCUCCAAACAAGGCGACAACAAAGACGAAGCUCCGUUAGCUCCGGCGGUUGGCUUCCUUGCCGUCGCCGGAAGCUCCUCCUCCCCUCCUCUUGGUUGUUUUUUUGCUCCCGUCUUUCACCUCUUAGUUGGCGCUGAUAUGCUAGGCGUUCUGGUGGAUGUCUCGUGGCGGAACCCUAACUCUGCUCCGGGAAGAGCUAUUUCCGGCGGUCUGAGGCCUCUCCCUGGAAUCUCUGCGAGGCGUCAACGGUUGUGGAGCACGGCGAGUCGGCGUUUUAGGUUUCGACCUCGGUAGAUCUCGAUUUUACCUUUGUAGAUCUAGCCGGCGUUGAUGGUGAUGGCGGCGCGUGAGUGUAAGAUUCUGGCUCUCUCCUCUGUUCUCAUUCAGGUUUUACUGGCGGUUAUCGUUGUGGAGAGGUCCGGUGACUUCCCCUGAACUGGCGCUUGGUGUCUUGCUUCGGCGAAGGGGUUUUGUUCACCGCUCGAUGGAGGCGACAGCGUGUUGCUGUUGAUGCGUGCCCAGACCUCCGGUGGUCGUGUGGUCACGGAGCGUUUGGGGUUUUUUCGUUUGUGGCUUAAGUGUUGCGGGAAGCUCCGUCGUCUAUGGCGGUUUCUUUCUCUUCUACGGCGGCCUCCUUCCAUUUGCCAGACUCUUCUCAUUUCUGUGAUUGUGUUUUGGGUCCUCUGGUCCCGAUUUCUCCUCUCCGCUUCAUCAGCUUCUCUUCGACUCUCCAUCGGUUUGAAGCCUUGAAGCGCAACAAAGGCCGGCUAAGGUUCUCUUACUCGGGCCAGGGCGCCAUUUGUAACAGCGACUUGGUCUGUCGGGUUCAGGUGGCGAGGAGACCUGGUGGGAGAUUGACCAUCCCAGUGUUCCAGUGACCUCUUGGUUACGAGAGCAGGUUUAUCACCUUCUUUUUUGCAGGUUACGGAGUGCACCUUUGCAGUCAGCUUUCAUCACAGCCUGUCUUUGUCCGGAUGGUUUGGGUUGGUGGUCUCCGGAUCAUCGUUCAAGUUCAUCCAGCGUCUUGGGAUUUUCGAGGCCUUGGUAUAUAUCUUUGCUUCUUUUCCUAUCGGUUUUAGAGCUUAAAGUCAGUGGAGAGAGCAAGCUUGUAGAAACCGUCGAGAACUAGCUACACCCAUGAUGGCACGAGUGUUCCGGCAACCGAGGAAACGAGGUGAACGCCACCCUCUUGUGGUUCCUAUCAUCGGCAGAGAACAGUGAUUGACAGUCUAAGAUUUGCGGAGUCAACUAGCGGAAUGCGCCGGUGUGGUGGUUGAGCGAAGCUAGUUAGAUGACGUUUCUGAAUUAGAUCAUUUUGGUUGAAACAUGCUUGUAAUCGAAACUUGAAUCCCCGAUCUUCGGGUUAUGAAUAAUAUAUUAUAUUAAAAAAAAAAAAAAAAAAAAAAAAAAAAAAAAAAAAAAUGAAGUGAACUACGCUUAAAUUAAACAAAAAAAUGCUAAUUCUUUAUGUUUCUCAUGUUCACUUCACUUCUAGCAAAAC
rnacentral:lncRNA from 1 species